AGGAUCAUUAUUGAAAAUAAACCUGAUGACUUGCUGCUGGCUCUCUAGGGAGUAUUGUGCACACUUGUCAUCUUUAUAUCUCCACCUGUGCACCUUUUGUAGACCUGGAUAUCUCUCUGAGUGCUUAGCACUUCAGGUUUGAGGAUUGACUUUAUUGUUCUCUCUUUAUAUUUCCAGGCCUAUGUUUCUUCAUAUACACAUUGUAUGUUAUAGAAUGUAGUAAUUAGGCCUUUGUGCCUAUAAACCUAUACAACUUUCAGCAACGGAUCUCUUGGCUCUCGCAUCGAUGAAGAACGCAGCGAAAUGCGUUAAGUAAUGUGAAUUGCAGAAUUCAGUGAAUCAUCGAAUCUUUGAACGCACCUUGCGCUCCUUGGUAUUCCGAGGAGCAUGCCUGUUUGAGUGUCAUUAAUAUAUCAACCUCUUCAACUUUUGUUGAGUGUUGGAUGUGGGGGUUUUUUGCUGGCCUCUCUGAGUUCAGCUCCCCUGAAAUACAUUAGCGGAACAAUUUGUUCAUUGGGCGUGAUAAUCUAUCUAUGCUAUUGGACAUGAAGCAGUUCAGCUUAUAACAGUCCAUUGACUUGGACAA
rnacentral:rRNA from 1 species